UAACGGCGUCGAGCGGCGGACGGGUGAGUAAUGCCUAGGAAAUUGCCCUGAUGUGGGGGAUAACCAUUGGAAACGAUGGCUAAUACCGCAUGAUGCCUACGGGCCAAAGAGGGGGACCUUCGGGCCUCUCGCGUCAGGAUAUGCCUAGGUGGGAUUAGCUAGUUGGUGAGGUAAGGGCUCACCAAGGCGACGAUCCCUAGCUGGUCUGAGAGGAUGAUCAGCCACACUGGAACUGAGACACGGUCCAGACUCCUACGGGAGGCAGCAGUGGGGAAUAUUGCACAAUGGGCGCAAGCCUGAUGCAGCCAUGCCGCGUGUGUGAAGAAGGCCUUCGGGUUGUAAAGCACUUUCAGUCGUGAGGAAGG
rnacentral:rRNA from 1 species